CCACCAUCUUGCGAAAGUCUGCUGUGACUUCAUGGCAAAAGGUCAUCCAAGUAAGAUUCUCCCCUGAGUAUCUUCCCCUUUAGACAAUGGGGAGAUGUUGCUUACAUCCCUCCUGGGAAGGAAUGUUAGCAACAUAAGUUUAGGCAAGGAGCGGAGACCUUCAGGAACCUUUGGAGUAUGGAGAGAGGAUGUUCAAAGAGCGAACGAAUGCCUCAGUUUUUCUUUAUGCCUUCAUCCUUGGUGAGAGAUGAGAAGUCACACAUUUUGUUCAGUAUUACUGCUUCUCAUACAGACUCACAGGAUGAUUCUCUGCACCAUCAGUGAACUCUGCCAGCAAGAAGGCUAUCAACAGAAGCGGUCCUCAAUCUUAUACUAAAAUUAUAUGUCUAGAUUUGUGUCAAGUUGACAAAUACUAGCCAGCACAUGAGAUGAUUUAAAAGGACCCAGAGAAACUCCUCACCCGUGCCAUCAAAUGAAGAUACAGCAAGAAGAUGGCACUAACAAAAAGGCCCUCACCAGGUCACAGUAAAGAAUCCCCAUCAUUUCACCAUCUCAGGUCUCAGGGAUCCUGGAAGAGAUGCACAAGUAUAUCUAAACCAACCCAAAGAUGUUCAACUCCUGAAUAACAACAAGCUCACUUGUCCAAUCAGCUUACCCCAUACAGCGUGUACCAAUUUGCAUUAUUACGUCAUUUUCUUAAUUGCUCUCUGAAGGAAUAGCCUGUGAUGGAUGGGGAGAGAAAGAUUAGAGGGAGACAGCAAAAAGAAAUGCAUGAUUCUUCCUUGAAACUACUUAGAGAUGGCUGAGAGACCUGAACCUGUGGACAGAACCCGCUUAAGCAGCUGACGCUACACUCAGAGUUAAGAAAUGUCACCCAAAGUGACCAAAUGUCAUCAUUGCAUAUAAGGUUUUUGUGUUUAUUUAAAUAGUUUCACAUGAAAACGGAAGCCUGGUUCAUCACAAUUUCCUUAAUUCCUUACUAAAACAUUUAUUUUGGAUCCAAA